CGUCUUUCAGGCGAUGCUGCCAGUGUGACGUAUAAUCUAGUGGACGGAACGGAUCAACAGCAAUGAGUCAACCACCUUGGUAGCCAACAGCCGAAACAUUUACACUGUUUCUGUGCAUAUUUGCCUCUGUGUUUUAAAUAUACUUCUGACGUCUAGUUAAUUGCCCCCAUUUAAAUGUUAUAGGUACAUUGUAAGUCAACUAGCUGGCGUGAUAAGUUAGCCUAGCACUAAACAAGUCGCUCAUGCUAACUAGCUAGCUAGCUAACAUCCCCGACCAUGAGCUCACUGAUGUAUUCCCCCCUGCUAAAGAAGAGGUCUGUUGGACGGAGAAAGAGGGUCUGGGGCUGAACAUUGUCGUGAAAGAUGAGAAGGAAGAGGAGGAUGUUACAGUAAAACAAGAAGUAGAGGGUGAGGCUGUUACAGUGAAAGAAGAAGAGAAAGACGUUUCAGUGAAAGAAGAGAAAGAGGAGGAUGUUACAGUAAAACAAGAGGUAGAGGGUGAGGCUGUUACAGUGAAAGAAGAAGAUAAAGACGUUACAGUGAAAGAAGCGGAAGAGGUGUUCAGAGUGAAAGAGGAGGAGGAUGUUACAGUUAAAGAAGAGGAGGAAGAGAAAGAGGAGGAUGCAGUUUUUUGAUUGAAGAAGGAGAAAGAGGGAGAGAUAACGGUCAUAUUGACAGAGGAGUCAGGAGAUCUGAUGACCAUCAGAGAGAGACCAGACUCUGACAGCAGGAAGAGUUCCUCAGAGGAAACAGACCCGGAGACGCCUAACCAACACCACUGUUCCCAGUGUGGAAAGAGUUUUAGGUGGUUAGGGAGCCUGAAAAUGCAUGAGAGAACACAUACAGGAGAAAAGCCCUACCACUGUUCCCACUGUGGAAAGAAUUUUACUCAGUUAGGGGCCCUGGUUGGGCAUGAGAGAACACACAUGGGAGAGAAGCCUUAUCACUGUUCCCACUGUGGAAAGAGUUUUAGGUGGUUAGUGAGCCUGAAAACGCAUGAGAGAACACACACAGGCGAAAAGCCUUUCCAAUGUUCCCAGUGUGAAAGGAGUUUUAGGUGGUCAGGGAGUCUGAAAAAGCAUGAGGGAAUACACACAGGAGAAAAGCCUUUCCAACAUACUAAUACACAGGAGGAGAAGACAUACCACUGUUCUCAUUGUGAAAAUACAUUUUCCCAGUCAGAGGACCUGAAAUCACACGAGAGAAUAGAGAAGCUGUGUUCUGACUUGUGUUUUUGACAGAGAAUUUGUCCACGGACAGGAUUCAUAGGGCCAGGGUGUCCGCUAUGGACACCUGGAAAAAAUCAGCAGUGGACAUUUCUGAACGUUUUUCCAACAGACCUGUACAUCCAUGAAUGGAUUUCUAUAAUGUGUAACUAUUUCUGAUGUAGGUAUUGUUUAAUAAAUGUACUAUGUUAGGUA